rnacentral:rRNA from 1 species
ACGGAGGGUGCAAGCGUUAUCCGGAUUCACUGGGUUUAAAGGGUGCGUAGGUGGGCAGGUAAGUCCGCGGUGAAAUCCCCGAGCUUAACUUGGGAACUGCCGUUGAUACUAUCUGUCUUGAAUGUCGUGGAGGUAAGCGGAAUAUGUCAUGUAGCGGUGAAAUGCUUAGAGAUGACAUAGAACACCAAUUGCGAAGGCAGCUUGCUACACGAAAAUUGACACUGAGGCACGAAAGCGUGGGGAGCAAACAGGAUUAGAUACCCUGGUAGUCCACGCCCUAAACUAUGGAUACUCGACAUCAGCGAUACACAGUUGGUGUCUGAGCGAAAGCAUUAAGUAUCCCACCUGGGAAGUACGAUCGCAAGAUUG